UACAGAGGCCUCAAGCGUUGUUCGGAUUUAUUGGGCGUAAAGGGUGCGUAGGCGGUACCGAAAGUUAGGUGUGAAAGUUCGAGGCUUAACCUCGAAAUUGCACCUAAUACUCCGGUGCUUGAGUCUCAUAGAGGAAUCUGGAAUUCACGGUGUAGCAGUGAAAUGCGUAGAUAUCGUGAAGAAGGCCUGUGGCGAAAGCAAGAUUCUGGGUGGCGACUGACGCUGAGGCACGAAAGCCAGGGGAGCAAACGGG
rnacentral:rRNA from 1 species